rnacentral:tRNA from 1 species
GUUUUCAUAGUUUAAAAAAAACAUUGGUCUUGUAAAUCUAAAUUAAGAAUAGUUCUUUGUAAACU